UAUGAAUAUACCCUCAGUGUUGGUCCCUUU
rnacentral:piRNA from 1 species